rnacentral:rRNA from 1 species
UACGAAGGGUGCAAGCGUUACUCGGAAUUGCUGGGCGUAAAGCGUGCGUAGGUGGUUCGUUAAGUCUGAUGUGAAAGCCCUGGGCUCAACCUGGGAAUGGCAUUGGAAACUGGCGACCUAGAGUGCGGUAGAGGGUAGUGGAAUUCCCGGUGUAGCAGUGAAAUGCGUAGAGAUCGGGAGGAACAUCCGUGGCGAAGGCGACUACCUGGACCAGCACUGACACUGAGGCACGAAAGCGUGGGGAGCAAACAGG